GCCCACUUUGAUCCCGCCCAUGACGUCACUGUAUCACGGCACGCACACUGUAAUACCGCCUUCAGUCACUGGAGAUCCUACACUGACGCUAGACAUAAAUGGGUUAAUUGCCUGCACCAGCAAGUGGUCCACCUGGCUCAACAGAGACAAACUGCAAUAUGGCGACGGUGACAGAGAAGUCAUGACUCAGAGCGAGCUAGCAGCCAUCUGUCCGGCUGGCAAGAUCAUCGCUGUGGAAUGUCAGGCAGUGGACGGUAUGACCUUCUACAGUUCUUGGGAAGUAAGCACAGUGCUCUAUUGAGGGCGUUUCUGUGUGUCUGAACGCUGACAAUGACCCGAUCCCAUGAAGUGACUACCAGAUCAGAUACUUCUGCUGCACAUGGGAAGUUUUGGACCGAUGCUCAGCGCUUUGCCGGCUGUCCGGCUGGCAAGAUCACCGCUGUGGAAUGCCAGACAGUGGACGGUAUGACCUCCUACAGUACUGGGAAAGUAACGCAGUGCACCGUCGGGGGCGGUUCUUUGUGUCUAUGAAUCUCUGACAAUGACCCGAUCCCGUGCCGGGGCUACCAGAUCAGAUACUAUAGCACGUGUGAAGGUAAUUACUUGUAAUCCGUUGAAUGUUAAUAUUAAAUUGCUCAAGUUGACCAUUGAAACUUGAAAAAAAAUCUAACUUACAUACAGUAUACAGAUAUGUGUAACAAUAACUGCACUCGUAGUUUGGCGAAUCGUGAUAUUGUUUUAUCCCUUUACGAAUCACACACAUUUAAAUGUAACUUUAAAUUUUAAACCUUUUUGCCUUGACGUCGGCAAAAAUACAAGUCCUCCGGUCACAAUAUCAUGUGGCACACCCACCGCAGCGCUUGGAGUCACCGCAAGAACUCUAACAGUGUCUGCCGUGUAGCACCGCCCAGAAGGCUGUGUACUGCCCAAUGGGCAAGGUGACCUCUAUCAGGUGUGCCACAGUGGACGGUAUCGCAUCCUACAGUACCGGGGAAAUACAGCAGUGCACGCUGGAGACCGGAUUUAGAUGUAUGAACGACAACAACUUCCCUGCUACGUGCAGUGAUUAAAAGAUCAGAUACUCGUGUGACUGCAAAGUGUGUACAAACUUAAUUCCAUCAUCUUUAAAUCAACGCGAAUCGACGGCCCAUGCCUAUGCACCAAAAGGCAAAUACAACGAGUGUUUUAAAAUUCCAGCCUGGUUCCACCUGGAAUCCAUAUAAACCUCUCAGCAACAACACUGAGAACCUGACGUGCCAGACGAGCGCACUGCGUCUUAUAUCCGUGUUACCCAACGACACGAUCGGCUUCUUCACGGUGAUUGACAACCUCGAGCUUAGUAAGAACAAUGAGCGUAUCCUCGACCUUCUGGAAUUUUCCCGUUACUGCAACUCGCACUCGGCAUACAGUCACGUGACGCGAGGCUUCACCAACUUAACAUACAGUCACGUGACGCGAGGCUUUACCAACGAUUGCAACUGCUUUCAGGCAACGGCAACAGAGAGCAAGAGCAUUGGAAAUAUUGGGCAAAGGAGGCCGCAAACUAAUAAGGUCUUAUUCCGUACCGAAGUCGUGUGGCUGUGGUAUUUGCACUGGAGGAAAGAAGAUGAAUACAUGGGAUUACUUCAUUGCAGUAACUGGUUUACUUGAUUGUAGCUCUAUUAAUGGACGUUGUUUUGUGGAUCUUUACAAUUGUUAUUUAUUUUGAGGUUUCCACAUCAUCAUGUUAUAUAUGUGUGUUAACAGAGGUUUUUACAAUAACAAGAAGUGAUGUGUUUGAGAAACACUAUGCCCCCAUAUAUUUGACCUUUUACCUUGAAUGAUGACCUUGACCUUGAUCUUUCACCACUAAAAAUGUGCAGUUCCAUGAGAUACACAUGCAUGCCAAAUAUCAAGUUGCGAUCUUCAAUAUUGCAAAAGUUAUGACCAAGGUUAAAGUUUUUGGACAGGCACACAGACACACACAAUGACAGACAGACAGGCCAAAAACAAUAUACCCCCCUCUUUUUCGAAGAAGGGGGCAUAACAAUACAUGUUGAUACUCUUUACCAUGUUGUGUUAUAAAUAGUUAGAAAAAACAUCAUUGAACGUAAGCUCGAGUCUCACUAUUGCCGACAGAGACCCGCUACAUCCCAGUUUGCUAAAACGCCGGUCGACCGGCGAGGACCGGGAUGAUUCGUCGAAUUUUUUCAACACGGUCACACUUUUUCCCGGUGCCGCCCCGGUUGAAGCCGGUCAACAACCCGGCAGAGUUCUGGUCAACCCCGACUAGCUAUGGUUUAUCCCGGUGAAGCCCCGGUUGUCUCCGGCAAUGCCCAGGUGGAGACCCGGUGAAAGCCGGCCCCGGUGGAGCUACGGUGCCGUCCCGGUUGUUCCCGGUGCCGUCCUGGUUGUUCCCGGUGCCGCGCCGGUCGUUGCCGGUCCUUCCCGGUGACUCCCGGUUCAUCCCGGAUGUAUUAAACAUUUAUAUACUUACCCGGUAGGGCCCCGGUUCAUCCCGAUCGUCCCCGGCGGAGCCCCGGUUCAUCCCGGAAGAGCCCCGGUAGAUCCCGGAUCACGCAUCGGGGCCCUACCGGCAUCAUAGUGAGACUGGGCCUUAAUAUAUAGGAAAUAUUGUGUUUGAAAAUUGUGUGACUGGCGAAUAGCGCUCUAUACAUUGAAGAAAGAGCCUCUUAUUUAUUGAUUUCCGAAUGCAUCGAGUUUUGCUAUUUACUUAAUAAUUUAAUGCCCUUAUAAUGUUUUAUGAAAUGCACUUUGUCUUGAUGUGGAAAUAUCUCAUUUGAAAAUGUGUUUGGUGUAGUUGCCCAUUAGAUGAUUUCAAGCCUUUUUACCAAGCUCAGGUUUUUGAAAAGUGAUUUUUUUCAGUAACAAGGAAACUUAUCACUUUAAGUAGAAACGAUGAAAUAUUUGAACUUUGGGAAUUGUUUGUAUUAUUUUCAAUAACAAAAAACUUUUCAUUUAGAGUAGAAACGAUGAAAUAUUUGA